AUCCGCUUAGGGCCAAAGCUCAAGCAGCUGGGAAGCUAUUGGGCUGCAAGCAGGUGUGGCUGCUGCCUCUCGGAGCAAGUAGCGAGUGAGGAGAGCUCUACCAGUGGACACCCAAGACUUGGGCACCCAUGACCUUGGCAUCUUCAUCCAGCACAGUUCAAUAAUAGAAAGAUAAAUCUUCAAGGAGGAUUAGGCGUGUACCGGGCUUGUUCAAGGAGACCGCAGUUUGUUCUACUGAGGUGUCCUUAUCUCUCAGUGACCUGCUCGCCCCUCAGUGGCCUGCUAAAGAAGGUGACCUGGACCACAGCUGGAGAGGGGUAACUGCCAGCCAGGGGUACCAGAUGUCCAGCCUGUGCACCACCCAGGAGCAAGCUAUGAGAAGAAACGUCACCACCAAAGCAUCUGGAGAAGCCCACAUGUCCUCGGCUACCCCAGCUGAUGCAAUAGAUUCUAGGACUUCCUAUGAUCUCUGGGGUGGUAUGAAAGGAGGAUACCUAAGUGAUGUAGUUCUGAACCCCUACUCCAGGACUUCCUAUGUUGCCUACCCCGCUGUAAAGACCCUGCCACAAGUGUACCCAGCCCCCUAUACUUACACGUGGGUAAAGCACUGCAAAUAUUCGAGGAGGAAGCUUCCCGUGCCAUCAGUAUGGUCAAGGGAGGCCACCAGCUUUUAUCACCACCUCGAGAGCCAGUACCCAGAUGGCAUGAAAUCUGAUGCAUUUCCUUGUUCCAUGAGUUUACUACCCCCUAAUUCCUCAGUCUUUCCCACUUUUGCCCAUGAUAUUUCCAGGCAUUAUCCAAGAUGGGAACCAGGAACCAACCAGCCCAUCCAGGCCCAUAGUGAGGGGUCCACUUAUAACCCCUCAUUUAUAAGGCAUUGGGUGGUAAGUUACCCAGAUGCCUGCAAGCCCCAUCUUCAAAUGCCUCCCCAUUUCCUUUAACCCAGAUCCUGAGUCCCAACCCAGCAGCCCCAACUGCCUCUGGCAUCUACCCUUCAGGGUCCCCGACUUCCAUGUAUGGCAGCUGUGUCCUUUAGGUAAUGUCCCUGGACUACAGAACCCAGCAGGUACUCUCUGAAGCCUCUUCAAAAGCCCCACUUGGAUGGACUUUAGACAGGAUCCUCUCUUUCUGCACAGAUUUCACUGCAUACACCACACUGUCCCCUUUCUCACCUGCUGUCUGCCGCUCACAGAGCUGGUGACACAGUCCCACAAAGUACAGUGACUUAUGUGUUUUUUAUAUUAAAUAAAUGACAUUCUAUCAAUCACAUUUUUCUUAUUUUUCACAAGUUAAUGUAUUUUAAGGCCCAGCCUAACCUGCAAGUGCAAAGAGUACAUUUAUAUUUUGAAAUUUAUUGGCAUGGAAGUUCUUAUGUACUUCCUACUUGUUUUUAUUAUCCACUGUAUUCUACUUUUCUCUCCUACUGUUGAAUAUACUAAAGGAGGAAAAAGAAGUUUUAACAUAGGCUGUGGUUUAGCUCUUGAGUAUUUACCCAGAGCCCCCUGUGUUGAGGGCCUUGCAAAUGAUGGGGAGUUUAUGAGGCAGGGAGGUCUUUAGGUCACUGGGAGUGUGACCUUGCAGAAGGUGGCGAGGCUCCAGCCCCCUCCUUUUCUGGCCAUGAGGUAAGCAAUUCCACUUCACCACACUCCCUGUCAUGUGCCACACAGGCUCAAAGCAAAGGGGCCAAUCAGCCACAGCUCUGAACCCUCUGAAGCUGAGCUGAGUAAACCUUUCUCUACAUAAAUUGGAGACCUUGGGCAUUUUUAUAGCAACAGGAUACUGAUAGACACCAUGGGGUUGUGCUUCAGCAGACUGUUGACAUCACUGAUCGACGGUGUCUCCUAUCAUCCAUAGGUUAAGCUUCAUCUUGUAUCUUCAAGGAUAACUUCUGUCAAUUCAUUUGCCUUGAGUUCCUUUUACUAUUAAAUAUGCCAAUUUAAAUACA